ensembl:lncRNA
CUGCCACAGCCAAUUACACUGAGACAGAGAACUGUACUAAAUGCCGUAAAAUCACAUACAAAACUAAAAUGUUUGUUUUGUCUGUGGAGGUAGAAAAUGGGUAUUUAAAGCAUACGAGUGAUAAUAAGGUCAUUUGUGAGUCUUGCUCUGGAACUUCAACUUCAACUACUGCCGGCACAAAGUGUUUCAGCUUUAAAAAGAAACAAAAGAUUCAUAUCUCAGUUCCUGAGCGAGACCAAAACACAGUAAAGCUCACCUUUAAGAAGUUUCAUCAACAACACCGUGUUAGUGACUGUAUAGAGGCUCACACAGGUUCGACUGACAGGCCCUGCAAUGUCAGUGUGGCUACAACAAAUGCAGUUACAAAUCUGGAGUUCUACCAGGAAGCGAAAAGUUGGAUUGAUGCCUUGGAGCAAUGCCAGAGAGACUACACCUCCCUGGUUGAAAUCACCAACCAAACAGUAAAAGAUGUAGUGAAAGGUCUCCUGCAAAGUCUCCUGCAAAAUGAGACACACUUGCAACAAGGGGUGUGGAUUGGCCUGG